rnacentral:rRNA from 1 species
UAGGGAAUCUUCCACAAUGGGCGAAAGCCUGAUGGAGCAACGCCGCGUGUGUGGUGAAGGGUUUCGGCUCGUAAAACACUGUUGUAAGAGAAGAAUGACAUUGAGAGUAACUGUUCAAUGUGUGACGGUAUCUUACCAGAAAGGAACGGCUAAAUACGUGCAAG